GGCCAUCAACCAGAAUACAAAAGAAAGCUUGAGAAAUCUCAGAACUAUAUAAGCACACAGAGAACACAAAAAGAACAGAAACUUAAGCCUAAAGAAUCUGGAAAUGUAGGGUGAAUAAUUGUACAUUCAGUAUGCCGUAUUAGACUGAAUUGAAUAUUACCACAAUGGACAAGAUUUUAUCUUCUGAUUCUUCUUAGUACUUCGCAGUGCCGUCUAAUUCAACUUACGGAAUAGGGAGAUUGUUUAUGGGCACUGGAAACCAGUUGGAACCUUAUUUCCACAGUAGUUAAGCAACAAACUGAGGGAAACUGGGACAUUUAGGUUAAUGCCCAAAACAUUUGCUUUAAUGGCAGUGCAAAGGCAAACAGCAGCCUCAAGGUCAGCAAGCCCUUUAAUGAGUGUGCAGCAGGGAGUUUUUGGUGGGGUACCCACAACCAGGUGCACCAAAUCAUUAAGCAAAUCUGCGCAGACUCCCAGUUUUAGAGUGUCUUUAGGGCACUUGCCCUUCGAUGGGUGGUGCUUCUGACCGUGGCCGUGGCUGGGGGUGGGGGUGGUGGGUGUCGUUGGUGUUGGUGUUGGUGUUGGUGUUGUUGGUGGUGUUGGAGGGCAUGGGACAGAAUUGGAAGUGACUAAUGUGAAGAAGAGUAGGUUGAGAAGAAGGAGAAGGGUAGCUUUGGAAGCCAUUGAUUUUGAAGAUACUUGAAAACUUGUUUUGUUAAUGCAAGAGAGUUUAUAUUUUCGGCUGGGGUUGUGG
rnacentral:lncRNA from 1 species